AAGUCGUAACAAGGUCUCCGUUGGUGAACCAGCGGAGGGAUCAUUACCGAGUUAUACAACUCCCAAACCCACUGUGAACCUUACCUCAGUUGCCUCGGCGGGAACGCCCCGGCCGCCUGCCCCCGCGCCGGCGCCGGACCCAGGCGCCCGCCGCAGGGACCCCAAACUCUCUUGCAUUACGCCCAGCGGGCGGAAUUUCUUCUCUGAGUUGCACAAGCAAAAACAAAUGAAUCAAAACUUUCAACAACGGAUCUCUUGGUUCUGGCAUCGAUGAAGAACGCAGCGAAAUGCGAUAAGUAAUGUGAAUUGCAGAAUUCAGUGAAUCAUCGAAUCUUUGAACGCACAUUGCGCCCGCCAGCAUUCUGGCGGGCAUGCCUGUUCGAGCGUCAUUUCAACCCUCGAGCCCCCCCGGGGGCCUCGGUGUUGGGGGACGGCACACCAGCCGCCCCCGAAAUGCAGUGGCGACCCCGCCGCAGCCUCCCCUGCGUAGUAGCACACACCUCGCACCGGAGCGCGGAGGCGGUCACGCCGUAAAACGCCCAACUUUCUUAGAGUUGACCUCGGAUCAGGUAGGAAUACCCGCUGAACUUAA
rnacentral:rRNA from 1 species